rnacentral:rRNA from 1 species
UACGUAGGGGGGCAAGCGUUGUCCGGAUUUAUUGGGCGUAAAGAGCGUGUAGGCGGCCAUACAGGUCAGCUGUGAAAACUCGAGGCUCAACCUCGAGACGUCGGUUGAAACCGUAUGGCUAGAGUCCGGAAGAGGAGAGUGGAAUUCCCCGGUGUAGCGGUGAAAUGCGCAGAUAUCGGGAAGAACACCCGUGACGAAGGCGGCUCUCUGGGACGGUACUGACGCUGAGACGCGAAAGCGUGGGGAGCGAACAGG